rnacentral:lncRNA from 1 species
UUCUUUAUCAAUACAUCAACAGGGGCCUGAAGACUUUCUCUCUGUUUUUUCUCCUUUCAGAGUCCUGACAAACGCUGCUGAGUUUACUGUGCACAGCAAGACAUCUUGGGGUGAGAGCCUGUGUGCUCAGAUGGGGACAGUAUCUUAAGAAACCCUCCAUACAGCAAGCAGUACUGGACUGUCAGUAGGUGAUGUGCCAGCAUGAGACUAAGUAAGGCACAACACACACGAAUGAAGCCCUUUAGGGAAGAAGAAGCCAUGAUAUCUAAAUGGAAAUUUAAGGUGCCUCAGUUUUGGAAGUGGAAAGAGUGGCUUCUGGUGGUGAGGAGGAGACUUUUUCAAGAUAAUCUGCUUUCUGCUCCAGGGAGCUUCAUAUUUUCCUCUUGAACUGAUGGGUACCUUUGAACAACAGGAACUGAGAAC